UACGUAGGGGGCAAGCGUUGUUCGGAAUUACUGGGCGUAAAGGGCGCGUAGGCGGCAUGGCAAGUCGGGGGUGAAAGGCCUGGGCUCAACCGAGGAACUGCUUUCGAGACUGCCAAGCUAGAGUGCGGAAGGGGCAUCUGGAAUUCCCAGUGUAGCGGUGAAAUGCGUAGAUAUCAGGAGGAACACCGGUGGCGAAGGCGGGUCUCUGGGCCGAUACUGACGCUGAGGAGCGAAAGCGUGGGGAGCGAACAGG
rnacentral:rRNA from 1 species